UUGGUCGUAGACCAGAUCGGCUCAAGUCGAGUCAUCAGCUCUGCCGGGAUGCCGAGGUUCAAUCCCUCGAUGACCAGA
rnacentral:tRNA from 1 species